rnacentral:tRNA from 2 species
CGGGCUGUAGUGUAAUGGCAGCACGAGUCUUUUGGGAAGAUUUAGCUUGGGUUCGAAUCCCAGCAGCCCGACAA